rnacentral:rRNA from 1 species
UACGUAGGGUGCGAGCGUUGUCCGGAAUUAUUGGGCGUAAAGGGCUCGUAGGCGGUUUGUCGCGUCGGGAGUGAAAUCCACUGGCUUAACUGGUGGCUUGCUUUCGAUACGGGCAGACUGGAGGUAUGCAGGGGAGAACGGAAUUCCUGGUGUAGCGGUGAAAUGCGCAGAUAUCAGGAGGAACACCGAUGGCGAAGGCAGGUCUCUGGGCAUUAACUGACGCUGAGGAGCGAAAAGCAUGGGGAGCGAACAGG